rnacentral:rRNA from 1 species
UCCACGCCGUAAACGAUGGUUACUAGCUGUUUGGACUUCGGUCUGAGUGGCUAAGCGAAAGUGAUAAGUAACCCACCUGGGGAGUACGUUCGCAAGAAUGAAACUCAAAGGAAUUGACGGGGGCCCGCACAAGCGGUGGAGCAUGUGGUUUAAUUCGAUGAUACGCGAGGAACCUUACCAGGGCUUAAAUGUAAGUUGCAUUAGUUAGAGAUAGCUAUUUCUUCGGACCACUUACAAGGUGCUGCAUGGUUGUCGUCAGCUCGUGCCGUGAGGUGUCAGGUUAAGUCCUAUAACGAGCGCAACCCCUGUUGUUAGUUGCCAGCGAGUCAUGCCGGGAACUCUAGCAAGACUGCCAGUGCAAACUGUGAGGAGG